rnacentral:rRNA from 1 species
UGGGGAAUUUUGGACAAUGGGCGAAAGCCUGAUCCAGCAAUGCCGCGUGUGUGAAGAAGGCCUUCGGGUUGUAAAGCACUUUUGUCCGGAAAGAAAUGGCUCUGGUUAAUACCUGGGGUCGAUGACGGUACCGGAAGAAUAAGGACCUGCUAACUACGUGCCAGCAGCCGCGGUAAUACGUAGGGUCCAAGCGUUAAUCGGAAUUACUGGGCGUAAAGCGUGCGCAGGCGGUUGUGCAAGACCGAUGUGAAAUCCCCGAGCUUAACUUGGGAAUUGCAUUGGUGACUGCACGGCUAGAGUGUGUCAGAGGGGGGUAGAAUUCCACGUGUAGCAGUGAAAUGCGUAGAGAUGUGGAGGAAUACCGAUGGCGAAGGCAGCCCCCUGGGAUAACACUGACGCUCAUGCACGAAAGCGUGGGGAGCAAACAGG